GUGCCAGCAGCCGCGGUAAUACGUAGGUGGCAAGCGUUGUCCGGAUUUAUUGGGCGUAAAGCGAGCGCAGGCGGUUUCUUAAGUCUGAUGUGAAAGCCCCCGGCUCAACCGGGGAGGGUCAUUGGAAACUGGGAGACUUGAGUGCAGAAGAGGAGAGUGGAAUUCCAUGUGUAGCGGUGAAAUGCGUAGAUAUAUGGAGGAACACCAGUGGCGAAGGCGGCUCUCUGGUCUGUAACUGACGCUGAGGCUCGAAAGCGUGGGGAGCGAACAGGAUUAGAUACCCUGGUAGUCCACGCCGUAAACGAUGAGUGCUAAGUGUUGGAGGGUUUCCGCCCUUCAGUGCUGCAGCAAACGCAUUAAGCACUCCGCCUGGGGAGUACGACCGCAAGGUUGAAACUCAAAGGAAUUGACGGGGGCCCGCACAAGCGGUGGAGCAUGUGGUUUAGUUCGAAGCAACGCGAAGAACCUUACCAGGUCUUGACAUCCUUUGACCACUCUAGAGAUAGAGCUUCCCCUUCGGGGGCAAAGUGACAGGUGGUGCAUGGUUGUCGUCAGCUCGUGUCGUGAGAUGUUGGGUUAAGUCCCGCAACGAGCGCAACCCUUAUUGUUAGUUGCCAUCAUUUAGUUGGGCACUCUAGCGAGACUGCCGGUGACAAACCGGAGGAAGGUGGGGAUGACGUCAAAUCAUCAUGCCCCUUAUG
rnacentral:rRNA from 1 species